AGAAGGCUGUAACGUAACGAAAUGUGUAGAAAGGGAAGGGGUCUGAAUACUUUCUGAAUUCACUAUACAUUACAUAGCUAUACAGAAAGCCCUUAAAGGGAACUACCUCCUAGAACCAACUUAUCUGGUUAUAAAUGUUCUAUGUGGCAUCGAUAUGAGUCAGUAACAUUAAUUCUAGUGUCAGAAUUGACUACAAAGUGUAAAUAGGAUAAUUUUUUUCAUAAACUCAGUCUCGUCCCAAAACGAGAUUUGGAAGUGAGUGCUUCAUAAGUAUUUGGACAGCCAGGGCUCUGAGCUCAUAGGAAAUAUUGUGGGUUCAUUUUAGAGAGGCCAUCCUUACUGACAUAAAUGUGAAUUUAUGUAAGUAAAACUGCAAACCAUGGAGAAAAUAAUCCAAUAGAAUAAUCCUCUAAAUAAACCAAAGCAAUAUCACAAAUGAAAGGGAUGUACUGAUUGACAUAAUUUUAGGGUGGAGUUGAUUAACCCCCAUCUCUUUGUUCAGUCACAUGGGCAGGCAAACAACCAUGAAGCUGCUACUGGACAGGGAAGCAGACCCCAAUGCCUCCAGUGUGCCCAUGCCUGUCUUCUUCCUGGUAUGAAGGCAGGCCACAUCCAGGCUGUCAGGCGUCUGCUGGAGUGUGGAGCACGUGCCUGCCUUCAGAGCAAAAGGGAUUAUACCCUCUGCACUUCGCUGCAGCUCUCCCCAGGGCAGAGGGCCCAAAGAUCACAGAGCUGCAGGCUGCACACCGUGGGAGGGGGUUUGGAAUAAAGCCCUACUCCAAAACACAGUCUCGACUGGAUGCACCACCGGUCCAUUAUCGCCUGCGCAGCAGUGUGGCCAAUGAGAGCAGGAGGAGGAGGAUGGAGGGGUGGGUCUGGGUUCCUGUGCUCUUCACCUUCUUGUUCUCAGGAUGAUUGUAGUAUCUGGUGCUGUCUGCUUUGGGCACAAUGACACGAGGUCCAUUGCGGGCACACGACUCGCCUGUACACAUUCCACUUCCUGAACCACUGACGUCAUCACCUGGAGACAAGGGAAAGGCAUUGGUUAAUUGAAAUUAGGAUAUCAGUGAGACCAAGCGGUUCAACAUGUUUCUGAUACACUCCCAACUCUAACCUGCACAUCCAAUACCCCCCAUCCCCAAACCCAAUACCCCAUACUCUCUCACCCUGUCUACUAUACUCUUGGCCCUUCCUCCCUCCUCUCUCAACCCUCCUUCCCCCUCUCCUCUCCCGCCCGUCACUCACUGGCAUCCUGGAAGUCCACGUCAUUGCCGUUGAGGGCGUUCCUCAGCCGGUUGGUCAUGAUCUUCAGCUGCAUGAUCUGCUGGCGGAUAGUCAUGUCUGGCUUGGUGAUGUCGAUGUCCACUUCUGGGUUGUUGAUCUGGCUGGCCAGGCCGUCGCCCAUCACCUCAAGAAGAUACCUGGACACAGAACACAUGAUGGAGAUGUAUGACAAACCCUGAACUUUGUGUGCCUGCCACCUUGGGGGUCCCACAGGCCUGAAAUACCUACCACCAAACACACAGUAAAACACACACCUUUAGACACACACAUCUGAGACUCAAACACAUGUAAAAUAGCAUAGAGCGUGGGAAUAAAGGUUUAGUCAGGAUUUGGUGCUGGUUGAACAGACCUUGCUGGUGAAGACCUCUGUGUUCUCCUGCAUGUAGAGGAUGGCGUCUGAGAUACGGAGGGGGAUGGAGUAGAUGACCACGUCCACGCUGGGGUCAGAACUGAAACUAGAUGCCACCUGCAGCAUGGUGUCUGGACAAACAGAGACAGGAGAUUAACAAGGGGAAAACUGAGUGUGUGCUUAUAUUUGCUGUGUGUGUGUGUGUGUGUGUGUGUGUGUGUGUGUGUGUGUGUGUGUGUGUGUGUGUGUGUGUGUGUGUGUGUGUGUGUGUGUGUGUGUGUGUGUGUGUGUGUGUGUGCGUGCGUGCGUACGUGUCCAUGCAGUCGGGCGGACAUGUGUGUCUCUCACCGAUGAGGUUCUGCCACUCGGUGUCGAGGUCGGCCUGGUUGGCGAGGCAUCCCUUCAUGACAUUUCUGCAGUAGUUGGCACAGGGCUUGACUGAGGCCAGGCCUCUACAGUGAGGACAGUACACCAGCUUCAUCAUGGCACGGGUACACUCUGGGCUGAGAGGUACCUGGAGGAAAAGACCAAUCAUCAUCAUCAUCAUCAUCAUCAUCAUCAUCAUCAUCAUCAAUGAGCUUUGCAUCUUUUCAAUUUUGACUUCAAUUAUGAGGAGUUAUGAGUAAUACAGCGAGUUGGAAUGGGAAGGUUAUGUUUUGUAAAAUAACUGCUAUUCUGUAUUCUAUUUUCACUCAGGCAUGAUGACUGGCGCCUGUGUAGAGUAGAGAGUUGUUCUUUGCUACUUCUUAGGUCUCUAUAUGUAUCAAGUCAACUGAGCAUAUCUGUGCUCCAGCGAUAGAGGCCGUUACACUUGUCAGUGCGAAGACUGAUGAAAAGCCCAGUAAAGCUCACUUAGAGACAUCUUUCCUCCCCUGAUGUACUGACUGGUUCCCUCCAGCACUGCCAUUUUGUACACAGGUCUCUGAAUGCGUACACCAUCUCCAAUACAGAGACAGAAGUUCACCCUCAUUGCAUUUGUGGUUAUAAUAUGUAUUAUAUUCUUGAUUAUCAUGUAUUGAUUAUGAUUAAGAGUAUUGUGCGAUAUGGAAGGGCAACACUACCAUGCAGCUAACACAUGACCGUGGUUAGAUAGUGGAUAAAGAAGUGGAUAUGUAGGUCUAUGUUGUGUAGAUGUUUGUGGUCAGAGGAGUCGGCCAUCAUUUCCAAGGACAAUCACGCAUUCAGAGGAGGACCAUGUCAUUUUCCCAGAUUGCAGUUUCAAAUUUAGCUCCUUAAUGUGGAUGUCUAGAGUUUGACACCAUUAAGAACUACAAGCAAACUGAUCAGAUAACAAGAUUAAAGAGGCAUCAUUACAACCGGUCCUUGUAUUGCCAGACUUCACAGGGACACAUCAACAGGGCUUAAUGUAAACAGACAGCCGGCUUCCUAACACGUCCGACAGUCACCGAUUGAUUGUGACAUCCCCGUGUGAGAUCUCCUACAGUGUGACACAACAGGAGGGGGAGUGGAGCAGAGCAGAGGCCAGUUAUUGGUGGCUGCUAAAUUAAGAUCAGUGAUGGGACAGACGCCCAUGAUGCCUCACUGUUACAGCAGCCACCAUCACUGGCAGUAAUGACAAUAAUCAACCAUAGCUCAAAGGAAUUCUUCCAUCUGCAUGCUCUCUCUCUCUCUCUCUCUCUCUCUCUCUCUCUCUCUCUCUCUCUCUCUC